rnacentral:rRNA from 1 species
CCUACGGGGUGCAGCAGUGGGGAAUAUUGGACAAUGGGCGAAAGCCUGAUCCAGCCAUGCCGCGUGUGUGAAGAAGGCCUUCGGGUUGUAAAGCACUUUCAGUGGGGAAGAAAGCCUUGGGGCUAAUACCCUCGAGGAAGGACAUCACCCACAGAAGAAGCACCGGCUAACUCCGUGCCAGCAGCCGCGGUAAUACGGAGGGUGCGAGCGUUAAUCGGAAUUACUGGGCGUAAAGCGCGCGUAGGCGGUCUGAUAAGCCGGUUGUGAAAGCCCCGGGCUCAACCUGGGAACGGCAUCCGGAACUGUCAGGUUAGAGUGCAGGAGAGGAAGUUAGAAUUCCCGGUGUAGCGGUUAAAUGCGUAGAGAUCGGGAGGAAUACCAGUGGCGAAGGCGGCAUUCUGGACUGACACUGACGCUGAGGUGCGAAAGCGUGGGUAGCAAACAGGAUUAGAUACCCUAGUAGUC